AACUUUCGGCAACGGAUCACUUGUUUCUGGCAUCGAUGAAGAACGCAGCGAAAUGCGAUAAGUAAUGUGAAUUGCAGAAUUCAGUGAAUCAUCGAAUCUUUGAACGCACAUUGCGCCCUCUGGUAUUCCGGGGGGCAUGCCUGUUCGAGCGUCAUUACAACCCUCAAGCUCUGCUUGGUAUUGGGCUACACCCGACUGGGUGGGCCUUAAAAUCAGUGGCGGUGCCAUCUGGCUCUAAGCGUAGUAAUUCUUCUCGCUCUGGAGAUCUAGGUGUUUGCUUGCCAGCAACCCCCAAUUUAUCAAAGGUUGACCUCGGAUCAGGUAGGGAUACCCGCUGAACUUAAGCAUAUCAAUAAGCGGAGGCU
rnacentral:misc_RNA from 1 species